AUCCUGGCUCAGGACGAACGCGGCGGCGUGCCUAAUACAUGCAAGUCGAACGAACUCUGGUAUUGAUUGGUGCUUGCAUCAUGAUUUACAUUUGAGUGAGUGGCGAACUGGUGAGUAACACGUGGGAAACCUGCCCAGAAGCGGGGGAUAACACCUGGAAACAGAUGCUAAUACCGCAUAACAACUUGGACCGCAUGGUCCGAGUUUGAAAGAUGGCUUCGGCUAUCACUUUUGGAUGGUCCCGCGGCGUAUUAGCUAGAUGGUGGGGUAACGGCUCACCAUGGCAAUGAUACGUAGCCGACCUGAGAGGGUAAUCGGCCACAUUGGGACUGAGACACGGCCCAAACUCCUACGGGAGGCAGCAGUAGGGAAUCUUCCACAAUGGACGAAAGUCUGAUGGAGCAACGCCGCGUGAGUGAAGAAGGGUUUCGGCUCGUAAAACUCUGUUGUUAAAGAAGAACAUAUCUAGAGUAACUGUUCAGGUAUUGACGGUAUUUAACCAGAAAGCCACGGCUAACUACGUGCCAGCA
rnacentral:rRNA from 2 species